rnacentral:miRNA from 1 species
UUCUUGCUCAGGGUUUAC